rnacentral:rRNA from 1 species
AGAGUUUGAUCCUGGCUCAGGAUGAACGCUGGCGGUAUGCCUAACACAUGCAAGUCGAACGAUGUCUUCGGACAUAGUGGCGGACGGGUGAGUAACGCGUGAGAAUCUGCCUCUAGGAUGGGGAUAACGGUUGGAAACGACCGCUAACACCCAAUAUGCCGUAAGGUGAAAAAUUUAUUGCCUGGAGAGGAGCUCGCGUCUGAUUAGCUAGUUGGUGGGGUAAGAGCUCACCAAGGCCUCGAUCAGUAGCUGGUCUGAGAGGAUGAGCAGCCACACUGGGACUGAGACACGGCCCAGACUCCUACGGGAGGCAGCAGUGGGGAAUUUUCCGCAAUGGGCGAAAGCCUGACGGAGCAAUACCGCGUGAGGGAGGAAUGCCUUUGGGUUGUAAACCUCUUUUCUCAGGGAAGAAGAUCUGACGGUACCUGAGGAAUAAGUAUCGGCUAACUCCGUGCCAGCAGCCGCGGUAAUACGGAGGAUGCAAGCGUUAUCCGGAAUCAUUGGGCGUAAAGCGUCCGCAGGUGGUUUCCAAAGUCUGCUGUUAAAGACUGGAGCUCAACUCCGGAACGGCGGUGGAAACCUGGAAACUAGAGUUCGGUAGGGGUAGCAGGAAUUCCCAGUGUAGCGGUGAAAUGCGUAGAUAUUGGGAAGAACAUCGGUGGCGAAGGCGUGCUACUGGACCGUAACUGACACUCAGGGACGAAAGCUAGGGGAGCGAAAGGGAUUAGAUACCCCUGUAGUCCUAGCUGUAAACGAUGGAAACUAGGUGUGGCUUGUAUCGACCCGAGCCGUGCCGUANCUNACGCGUUAAGUUUCCCGCCUGGGGAGU